GUGCUCACUGCGGCAGCACAUAUACUAGAAUUAGAACAAUACAGAAAAUAUCAGCAUGACACCUGCUCAGCGAUGACAUGUGACUUCAUAAACUGGUCUAUAUUUUC